rnacentral:tRNA from 1 species
CAGAUUGUAGUUUAAAAAAAAUUUUCGUUUUGGGAACGAGGGAUGUCUAUUGAUCAAUCUGA